AUUGAACGCUGGCGGCAGGCCUAACACAUGCAAGUCGAGCGGAUGAAGGGAGCUUGCUCCUGGAUUCAGCGGCGGACGGGUGAGUAAUGCCUAGGAAUCUGCCUGGUAGUGGGGGAUAACGUCCGGAAACGGGCGCUAAUACCGCAUACGUCCUGAGGGAGAAAGUGGGGGAUCUUCGGACCUCACGCUAUCAGAUGAGCCUAGGUGGGAUUAGCUAGUUGGUGGGGUAAAGGCCUACCAAGGCGACGAUCCGUAACUGGUCUGAGAGGAUGAUCAGUCACACUGGAACUUGGACACGGUCCAGACUCCUACGGGAGGCAGCAGUGGGGAAUAUUGGACAAUGGGCGAAAGCCUGAUCCAGCCAUGCCGCGUGUGUGAAGAAGGUCUUCGGAUUGUAAAGCACUUUAAGUUGGGAGGAAGGGCAGUAAGUUAAUACCUUGCUGUUUUGACGUUACCAACAGAAUAAGCACCGGCUAACUUCGUG
rnacentral:rRNA from 1 species